rnacentral:lncRNA from 1 species
UUGCCCUUCAUCUAAAACAAUCAACCUUCUCACAUGCAACUGUCAUCACAAGGACUUUUUUAAGGCUUAUAAUGAGGCUGGGCUAACAAGAAAAAUUGGUUUUUCUGGAGCACAAAAUCCUUAAGUUAAGAGAACUAUUUUAACAUUCAAAGUUCAAGCACAACUCUCUUUUUCACCAAUCUCACUCUUUCCCAACUUCUUCCUUUUUUCUUUUAUUUUUACAUCGAGCUCAUCUUUCAUACUUUUUCUUUUCUUCUUUUUCUUUCUUUUCUCAUGCAUUUUUUUCUUUUUCAACACUUGAGCUCAAUGCUUUUCUUUUGCCUUUCAACCUUCCCCAAACAACCCCAAACUUGAGCCUUUUCAAUACAUACAAUUAUUCUUAACCCAACUCAAGGUAAAAAAAUUCAAAUCAAGGGUUCUCAUCGUGUUUAAGGCCAAGGUUCAAAAAGGGUAUAACAUUUUAAUCACUUUGGGCAAAAAUUUGGCUAAGUAAGGGCUUCCAAACAUGGCCUUGAUCAUAUGACAUAAACAUGCAAUUUAAUCAAUUAUCAAGACUCAAGCAAUAUCAUUCAUGAUUCCUUGUGAACAGUACAUAUAUCAGGAAAUACUCUGGAGCUCAAUACCUCACACAACAUGCUUUCUCACACAUCAUUCAUACACCCUUCUUAGCAUCAUAAUCACAAUCAUAAAUCACU